rnacentral:rRNA from 1 species
AACGUAGGAGGCAAGCGUUAUUCGGAUUUACUGGGCGUAAAGCGCGUGCAGACGGCUUUGCAAGUCGGACGUGAAAUCUCUCGGCUUAACCGGGAGGGGUCGUUCGAAACUGCGAGGCUUGAGGUCGGGAGAGGGAAGUGGAAUUCCCGGUGUAGUGGUGGAAUGCGUAGAUAUCGGGAGGAACACCAGUGGCGAAAGCGGCUUCCUGGCCCGCACCUGACGUUCAGACGCGAAAGCGUGGGGAG